GCCGCGUGCGAGGAUGAAGNCCUUCGGGUCGUAAACUCCUUUCGAUCGNGACGAAUGGUNUCCGGGUGAACAAUCCGGAGAAGUGACGGUACCGUAGCAGAAGAAGCCCCGGCUAACUCCGUGCCAGCAGCCGCGGUAAUACNGGGGGGGCAAGCGUUGUUCGGAAUUACUGGGCGUAAAGGGCUCGUAGGNGGCCGACUAAGUCAGACGUGAAAUCCCUCAGCUUAACUGGUGAACUGCGUCUGAUACUGGAUGGCUUGAGUUUGGGAGAGGGAUGCGGAAUUCCUNGUGUAGCGGUGAAAUGCGUANAUAUCUGGAGGAACACCGGUGGNGACACGCGGCAUCCUGGACCNNCNCUGACACUGAGGAUCGAAAGCCUGGGGAGCAAACGGGAUUAGAUACCCCGGUAGUCCUGGCCCUA
rnacentral:rRNA from 1 species